rnacentral:rRNA from 1 species
ACCUACAGCCAUGCUACUCUGAACGCACCCGACCCAUCUGAUCUUGGAAGCUAAGUGGGGUCGGGCCUGGUUAGUACUUGAAUGGGAGAUCACCUAGGAAGACCAGGUGCUGUAGGCA